rnacentral:lncRNA from 1 species
UUCGAAAAAAGGUAUUUUAUACCUCAUAUUGUACCUAAAUUUCGGGACGGAUAUAUAGUGGAUUGCUCCUCCUCUCCGUGGAUGUAGGCCUUUUGUGCCGAACCACGUAAAUCUUGGUUCUUUGUCUUUGUUUAUUUAUGCCUGCAAUGUGUUUGGUGAAUUAUUUCAAAGAAAUUAGAUAUUAGAUCACAAGCCCAGAUCGAUCCAAUCCGGUGCGCGUUGCU